rnacentral:lncRNA from 1 species
CGAUUGUUGGUUUACCCGAACCACGAGAAUAUUGCCCUUUCCAAGCGGUGGGACAAUUCUUCCACUCCCAAUGCAUACAAUCGAUGCUUCCUAUCAUCCCGGGAAAUCCAUGAUGCUCUCCAAUAUCAAGUAGGCGUUGAAGGUCAGCCGGUGUUGGUCUUCUUAGGUACUCAUCGCCGAAUAAAUAUAUUAUUCCUUCCACGAAAUUUUGUACACAUAACCGAGUAGUUGUUUCACCGAGCCGGAGGUAUUCGUCGACC